GUGCUAUUCCAGCCCCCCGCCGCCGCCGCCGCUUCCCUCUUUCUCUCCCCCCACUCCCGUUUUCGCCUUUCAUCCCAAUUUGCAGCCGGCGCUGUCUUCGCGAAAACUCCUCCCGCUGCACCUGAAAGAGGCUCCUAUUGACAAACUUGGCUGGAACGAGGAUUUCCCCCCCUUUCUAUAAAAAAGACUCGCUGCCACGAAAAGGAGGAGGGGGCAGCGGAAGGCACCGGAGAGAAUUUAAAGGACAGUUUUCCCUCCCUUUGUUGAAUGAGAAGAACGGGGCCGGAUCAUCAUGAGCACCAGCACAGUUCCUUUCCAGCAAAACCCGUACAACCCAGGGGGCCGUCCCACCAUCAUCCACUGUUAUCGCUGCGGAGAUACGUGUAAAGGGGAGGUGGUGCGUGUCCAGAGCAAUCACUUCCACAUCAGAUGCUUCACCUGCCAAGUGUGUGGCUGUGACCUAGCUCAGUCCGGCUUCUUCUUUAAAAACGGGGAAUAUAUCUGCACCCAUGACUACCAGAAGCUCUAUGGCACACGUUGCGAUAGCUGCCAAGACUUCAUCACGGGAGAGGUGAUCUCAGCUUUGGGCCGGACCUACCACCCAAAGUGCUUUGUCUGCAGCAUGUGCAGGAAGCCAUUCCCCAUUGGAGACAAAGUCACAUUCAGUGGCAAGGACUGCGUUUGCCAAACCUGCUCCCAUUCACUGAUCAGCAACAAACCCAUCAAGAUUCAUGGACCAAGCCAAUGUGCAGGUUGCAAGGAGGAGAUCAAGCAAGGUCAGUCUCUCCUGGCCCUGGAGAAACAGUGGCAUGUCAGCUGCUUCAAGUGCCAAACCUGUGGAAUCGUCCUGACUGGAGAAUACAUCAGCAAGGAUGGCAUUCCAUACUGUGAAUCUGACUACCAUGCCCAAUUUGGCAUUAAAUGUGAGACCUGCAACCGAUACAUCAGUGGCAGAGUCCUGGAGGCAGGAGGGAAGCAUUAUCACCCCACUUGUGCCAGAUGUGUGCGUUGUCACCAGAUGUUCACAGAAGGGGAAGAGAUGUACCUCACAGGUUCAGAAGUGUGGCAUCCUAUCUGCAAACAAGCAGCACGAGCAGAAAAAAAGUUAAAGCACAGAAGAACUUCAGAAACAUCCAUCUCCCCACCUGGCUCAAGCAUUGGUUCCCCCAACAGAGUCAUCUGUGCUAAAGUGGAUAAUGAGAUCCUUAAUUACAAAGACCUGGCCGCUCUUCCCAAGAUUAAAGCCAUCUACGAGGUGCAGCGCCCUGACCUCAUUUCCUAUGAGCCCUAUCACAGAUACACAUCGGACGAGACGCUGGAGAGAUAUAGCUAUGGGGAGUCUCUUGGAACACUCUCUCCGUAUUCUCAGGAUAUUUAUGAAAGCAUGGACAUCCGACAGAGGCGAGCCUCCAGCCCCGGCUACAUCGACUCCCCCACCUACAGCCGCCAAGGCAUGUCCCCCACCAUCCCACGCUCACCGCACCAUUAUUAUCGCUCAGGAACAGAGAGUGGGCGCAGCUCCCCCUACUAUAGCCAGUUAGAUGUGAGGUCUUCUACACCAACCUCAUACCAAGCUCCUAAGCAUUUCCACAUUCCAGCUGCUGCAGAGAGUAACAUCUACCGGAAACCCCCCAUCUAUAAAAGACACGAUACCCUAUCUGCAGCCACAAAAAGCAAAACCAGUGAGGAUAUUGCCCAGAGCUCCAAAUAUAGCCCAGCCUACUCUCCAGAUCCAUAUUACCACUCUGAAACAGAAUACUGGACCUUUCAAGGCUCACCUAAAGCACCACGAGUUCGGAGGUUCUCAUCAGGAGGAGAAGAAGAUGGGUUUGAUCGAGGGAUGCAUAAGCUCCAGACUGGCAUUGGCAGAUUGAUACUUAAGGAAGAAAUGAAGGCCCGAUCCAAUUCCUACGCUGACCCCUGGACUCCUCCUCGCAGCUCGGCAGGCAGUAGAGAAGCUCUUCACACGGCCGGCUACGAAAGCUCCUUAAAUGGCUCACCCCGUUCACAUUACCUGGCUGACAGUGAUCCCCUCAUUUCAAAAUCUGCCUCUCUUCCUGCUUACAGAAGGAAUGGGCUGCACAGGCCUCCCAGCGCUGAACUCUUCCACUACGACAGCACGAAUGCCGUUAACUGGGGGAUGCGAGAAUACAAGGUAACACUUUCCGAGGAAUCCUGUAGAAUUCUAGAACCUUAGGUCCUUUUGCCACCUGAAAUGCUGAUCUGCAGGAUCUGCAGGAUCUGGCCAGAAGAAAGCCUCCUCUUCCCCUGGGUGCUCCUGGCCUGCAGUGCUCUUGAGUGCUCCUUCUACCUGGACAAAGGUCUCCUCAGGGUCCUUCAAGUGGGAUUCAAGCACUUGAUUGGGAGUUCUUGUGCAACAAGCCUGCUUCCCUAAAAGGCCAGAGUUUUUGCUUUGUGCUGUGUGCGUCAUCUUGUGUUGAAGUUUUGCUAUUCAGGUGUAUAUUGCCAAGUUAGGGUCACUCCUAGCAUGCUCAGUGGAUGGCAACCUGCAUUCAGAUAAAGGUUUGUCAUAGGUUUAAAACAAAAACAACUUGUGGGCACAAGUUUCUUCCAGGCAGGCUGUCUCUACCCGUUUCUUCUUUUUGUGUGGAUGGACUAGAAAUCUGUGGCCCAGCAGUCUGUUUUUCUCCCUCCUGCUCCUGUAGAUAUACCCUUACGAGCUGCUUCUGGUAACCACAAGGGGGAGAAACCGCUUGCCCAAAGAUGUGGACAGGACUAGGCUGGAGCGCCACCUGUCGCCAGAGGAGUUUUACCAGGUGUUUGGCAUGACCAUCGCUGAAUUCGAUCGCCUGGCAUUGUGGAAGAGGAACGAGCUGAAGAAGCAGGCCCGGCUAUUUUAAACAAACGAACAAACACCGUACAUUAUAAAUAAAUAUAUAUAUAUAUGUAUAUACAUACCUAUAAAUAUAUACAUAUAUAUAAUUAUAUUAUAUAUAUCUAUAUAUAGAAAGAUCUCUAUAUUGAAACUCUGUAUAACUCUUUUUGUUGUACAGUGGGAGCCCUGGCUGCUUUCUUUGGAAGCCUGUAGCGUGAACUGAAGACUCACAGAUAUUUUUAUGCUCUCUCUUUUAUGCUCUUUCCUUUAUUCCUUUCUCUCUUUUUUUAAUGUAGCUGUUCUUCGGGGGGAGUUUUUUCGAGGGGGCAGGGAGGAGGCGGGGUCCUGUUUUUAUAUUGAACUCUCUUUUUCUUACAUGAAUGUCAGGCAGUCUUGGGCAUUAUAGCAUCACACACACACACACACACACACACACACACACACACGUCUCUUGAUCCCAAGUCCAGGCCAAGGAAGGAGGUGGUCCUGGAGCACAGGCCUUGCAAUGAGUCGACUUCCUCUCUUGUCCUCUUGUGCCCAGCGCUUGGCAUACGGACAUCGGAAGUGCCCUGCUGGAUCAAGCUGAGGGUUUGUCCCAGGGAUGGGGAUACUGCAGCCCUCCAGGUGCCAUAGACUACAACUCCCAUCAUCCCUGACCACUGGCCAUGCUGCCCGAGUCUGAUGGGAGUUGGGAGUCCAGCAACAUCUGCAAGGCCACAGAUUCUCCACCCUGUCGAGCCUCGUGUUUCCAAUG